rnacentral:rRNA from 1 species
GGACGAAAGUCUGACGAAGCAACGCCGCGUGAGUGAUGAAGGUUUUCGGAUCGUAAAGCUCUGUUGUUAGGGAAGAACAAGUGCGAGAGUAACUGCUCGCACCUUGACGGUACCUAACCAGAAAGCCACGGCUAACUACGUGCCAGCAGCCGCGGUAAUACGUAGGUGGCAAGCGUUGUCCGGAAUUAUUGGGCGUAAAGGGCUCGCAGGCGGUUUCUUAAGUCUGAUGUGAAAGCCCCCGGCUCAACCGGGGAGGGUCAUUGGAAACUGGGAAACUUGAGUGCAGAAGAGGAGAGUGGAAUUCCACGUGUAGCGGUGAAAUGCGUAGAGAUGUGGAGGAACACCAGUGGCGAAGGCGACUCUCUGGUCUGUAACUGACGCUGAGGAGCGAAAGCGUGGGGAGCGAACAGGAUUAGAUACCCUGGUAGUCCACGCCGUAAACGAUGAGUGCUAAGUGUUAGGGGGUUUCCGCCCCUUAGUGCUGCAGCUAACGCAUUAAGCACUCCGCCUGGGGAGUACGGUCGCAAGACUGAAACU